CCUUGUGGAGGAGGACGCCGAAGGUGGGGCUAAUGACUGGGGUGAAGUCGUAACAAGGUAGCCGUACCGGAAGGUGCGGCUGGAUCACCUCCUAACAGGGAGACAACAAAAUGUUUAAUAUUAUUAUUUUGUCACCUUAGGUCGAUCGGUAUCUCACAUUCUUAAUUUAUUAAGAAUUUCAUUUUCUAAGUUUUUCUAGGUCACACCCAUUAUUUUUCCUGGGCCAUUAGCUCAGGUGGUUAGAGCGCACCCCUGAUAAGGGUGAGGUCCCUGGUUCAAGUCCAGGAUGGCCCAUAUCUCUAUGUUGGGGGUAUAGCUCAGUUGGUAGAGCGCCUGCUUUGCAAGCAGGAUGUCAGCGGUUCGAGUCCGCUUACCUCCACUGAUUACCACCUCUUCCAUAACCGGUAGUAAAGGAAAUGUUUUGAGUUGUGAUCAAAUUCUGAAAGAAUCUAGCUUCCUAAUGUAUUCGUUAAGAUGCUGGAUUCAUUGAAUUAAUUUCAUUGUUUUCAGAGAACCUUGACAACUGCAUAGAUUAUUUUUAAAGACAAUAAGCAUCUUUAAUGAUGCAGAUUUAUUAUUUGUGCGAAUGCAUUAAUAACAAUUCUAUUAAGCUGAUGCUUCAAUUUUUGAAGUUAUUGGUCAAGCUACAAAGGGCUCACGGAGGAUACCUAGGCACACAGAGGCGA
rnacentral:misc_RNA from 1 species